rnacentral:rRNA from 1 species
CCUUGAAAUACCACCCUUUAAUGUUUGAUGUUCUAACGUGGACCCGUAAUCCGGGUUGCGGACAGUGUCUGGUGGGUAGUUUGACUGGGGCGGUCUCCUCCUAAAGAGUAACGGAGGAGCACGAAGGUUGGCUAAUCCUGGUCGGACAUCAGGAGGUUAGUGCAAUGGCAUAAGCCAGCUUGACUGCGAGCGUGACGGCGCGAGCAGGUGCGAAAGCAGGUCAUAGUGAUCCGGUGGUUCUGAAUGGAAGGGCCAUCGCUCAACGGAUAAAAGGUACUCCGGGGAUAACAGGCUGAUACCGCCCAAGAGUUCAUAUCGACGGCGGUGUUUGGCACCUCGAUGUCGGCUCAUCACAUCCUGGGGCUGAAGUAGGUCCCAAGGGUAUGGCUGUUCGCCAUUUAAAGUGGUACGCGAGCUGGGUUUAGAACGUCGUGAGACAGUUCGGUCCCUAUCUGCCGUGGGCGCUGGAGAAUUGAGGGGGGCUGCUCCUAGUACGAGAGGACCGGAGUGGACGCAUCACUGGUGUUCGGGUUGUCAUGCCAAUGGCACUGCCCGGUAGCUAAAUGCGGAAGAGAUAAGUGCUGAAAGCAUCUAAGCACGAAACUUGCCCCGAGAUGAGUUCUCCCUGACUCCUUGAGAGUCCUGAAGGAACGUUGAAGACGACGACGUUGAUAGGCCUGGUGUGUAAGCGCAGCGAUGCGUUGAGCUAACCGGUACUAAUGAACCGUGAGGCUUAACCUUACAACGCCGAAG